GGUUAUGGCUCAGGGGUAGAGCACCUGCCUAAUAUGCAUGAGGCACUGGGUUCAAUCCCCAGCACCA
rnacentral:tRNA from 1 species